GACGAACGCUGGCGGCGUGCCUAAUACAUGCAAGUUGAGCGCUGAAGGUUGGUACUUGUACCAACUGGAUGAGCAGCGAACGGGUGAGUAACGCGUGGGGAAUCUGCCUUUGAGCGGGGGACAACAUUUGGAAACGAAUGCUAAUACCGCAUAAAAACUUUAAACACAAGUUUUAAGUUUGAAAGAUGCAAUUGCAUCACUCAAAGAUGAUCCCGCGUUGUAUUAGCUAGUUGGUGAGGUAAAGGCUCACCAAGGCGAUGAUACAUAGCCGACCUGAGAGGGUGAUCGGCCACAUUGGGACUGAGACACGGCCCAAACGCCUACGGGAGGCAGCAGUAGGGAAUCUUCGGCAAUGGACGAAAGUCUGACCGAGCAACGCCGCGUGAGUGAAAAAGGUUUUCGGAUCGUAAAACUCUGUUGGUAGAGAAGAACGUUGGUGAGAGUGGAAAGCUCAUCAAGUGACGGUAACUACCCAGAAAGGGACGGCUAACUACGUG
rnacentral:rRNA from 1 species